UACGGAGGGGGUUAGCGUUGUUCGGAAUUACUGGGCGUAAAGCGCACGUAGGCGGACUGGAAAGUUGGGGGUGAAAUCCCGGGGCUCAACCCCGGAACUGCCUCCAAAACUUCCAAUCUAGAGAUCGAGAGAGGUGAGUGGAAUUCCAAGUGUAGAGGUGAAAUUCGUAGAUAUUUGGAGGAACACCAGUGGCGAAGGCGGCUCACUGGCUCGAUACUGACGCUGAGGUGCGAAAGCGUGGGGAGCAAACAGGAUUAGAAACCCGGGUAGUCC
rnacentral:rRNA from 1 species